rnacentral:rRNA from 1 species
CGGCCGGGAACUCAAAGGAGACUGCCAGUGAUAAACUGGAGGAAGGUGGGGAUGACGUCAAGUCAUCAUGGCCCUUACGACCAGGGCUACACACGUGCUACAAUGGCAUAUACAAAGAGAAGCGACCUCGCGAGAGCAAGCGGACCUCAUAAAGUAUGUCGUAGUCCGGAUUGGAGUCUGCAACUCGACUCCAUGAAGUCGGAAUCGCUAGUAAUCGUGGAUCAGAAUGCCACGGUGAAUACGUUCCCGGGCCUUGUACACACCGCCCGUCACACCAUGGGAGUGGGUUGCAAAAGAAGUAGGUAGCUUAACCUUCGGGAGGGCGCUUACCACUUUGUGAUUCAUGACUGGGGUGAAGUCGUAACAAGGUAACCGUAGGGGAACCUGCGGUUGGAUCACCUCCUUA